UGACUCAAAGGCCAGUACAGCAUAGCAGAAACCUUUCCAGGCAAACAGGGAUUAGCCACCAGCAUACACUGAGCCCUGUAUUUGACAGAACCCCAAGAAAACCAAGUUUUCUUCACUUGCCCUCCAGCUCUUCCGGAAGGACAGUGUACAUAUGCCUGUUUAUCUGUCUAUCUUCUGCAUGGUUUCCAACUGCUUUCCUAUUCUCUCCCAUCUCUGAAUCACCUUUUGACUCUUGUUUCUUCUUGUCCUCACUGACUCAUCUAAUUUCUAUGCCAUUCACAGACUGCUUCUCAUUUUUUUCUUUCAUAUCUUUCUCUCUGUCCCCUGAGUUUUACUCUCUGUCCUCUUACACCUAUUCCUUCCUAUUUCCUAUUCCCUCCCUCAUCCAUCUCUCCUUCCUUUCAGUCUGUGACAUCAAUUCAUGGUGUGGGAAGCAGGAUGUGGAAUAGUUCACACAGCACCAUCAUAUGAAAGGACAAAAUCCCACAGGUCCUUGGCCCCAGUGGUCUCCCUAUCUCCAGCAGGAGGCUGCCCAGGCUGGACAUGGAAUGUCUCUGAUGACCUUGUCAAGGACCAGGUGGAAGAAGUCUGAGUGGACUUUUCAGCAGGGGUUGUUGUUGUUUCUGAGUUUCCUGUCUGGCCCAUCCACUACGUCCCCUACUGCUUGCAGAGGGCUGCCCUAACUUGCUUAUUUCUCUUUAACUCCAGUUUAAAACAGAGUGCAAAUGCCCAAGAGAAUCCAAUCUGUACAUAAAUUUUCAUAAUCCAUCAACAACAGAAGCUGGAAAUUCUUUACUGGAGUGUUGUGGCGAUGUGCCUCAGGGGAGGCAAAAGAGUUACGCUGUCUGACCCCAGACCCCUUUUGAAGGGCGGCCCAGGAGUACUGUUUGAGUUUGAGUCCCUGGGGGGUUUCUCCCUUACUGCAUUUCUAGUGGUUGCUGACCCUGAACUCCACCCUCAAGGGUGGAGACUGUUGGAAUUCUGUCCCUCAAAAACCCCAGCACUGCCAUUGUUCGGGGCUCUCUGUUCUGGAUCUGAGUUUGUUCCCGUGCUGAAUAAAUAGUUUCAUGAACUGGGA